rnacentral:rRNA from 1 species
CUCGAGACGGCGGGGUAGAGGCCCGCCGCGGUAACGACGGGUAACGGGGGAAUCAGGGUUCGAUUCCGGAGAGGGAGCCCGAGAAACGGCUACCACUUCCAAGGAAGGCAGCAGGCGCGCAACUUACCCUAAUCUCGAUUCGAGGAGGUAGUGACAAGAAAUACCGAUGCGGGACCCUACGGGUGCCGCGUUCGGAAUGAGUACGAUUCGAACCACCUAACGAGGAACGAUCGGAGGGCAAGUCUGGUGCCAGCAGCCGCGGUAAUUCCAGCUCCAAUAGCGUACGUUAAAGUUGCUGCAGUUAAAAAGCUCGUAGUUGAACGUUCGGGUUCCGCGGGACGGGGCGCCCCGCGAGGGACGGCGCCGCCCCGGGGCUCGUGAUAUCUCAUCUCGCCGCCCGUCGCGAGGCGGACGGA